GACGAACGCUGGCGGCGUGCUUAACACGUGCAAGUCGAACGGAAAGGCCCUGCUUUUGUGGGGUGCUCGAGUGGCGAACGGGUGAGUAACACGUGAGUAACCUGCCCUUGACUUUGGGAUAACUUCAGGAAACUGGGGCUAAUACCGGAUAGGAGCUCCUGCUGCAUGGUGGGGGUUGGAAAGUUUCGGCGGUUGGGGAUGGACUCGCGGCUUAUCAGCUUGUUGGUGGGGUAGUGGCUUACCAAGGCUUUGACGGGUAGCCGGCCUGAGAGGGUGACCGGCCACAUUGGGACUGAGAUACGGCCCAGACUCCUACGGGAGGCAGCAGUGGGGAAUAUUGCACAAUGGGCGGAAGCCUGAUGCAGCAACGCCGCGUGCGGGAUGACGGCCUUCGGGUUGUAAACCGCUUUCGCCUGUGACGAAGCGUGAGUGACGGUAAUGGGUAAAGAAGCACCGGCUAACUACGUGCCAGCAGCCGCGGUGAUACGUAGGGUGCGAGCGUUGUCCGGAUUUAUUGGGCGUAAAGGGCUCGUAGGUGGUUGAUCGCGUCGGAAGUGUAAUCUUGGGGCUUAACCCUGAGCGUGCUUUCGAUACGGGUUGACUUGAGGAAGGCAGGGGAGAAUGGAAUUCCUGGUGGAGCGGUGGAAUGCGCAGAUAUCAGGAGGAACACCAGUGGCGAAGGCGGUUCUCUGGGCCUUUCCUGACGCUGAGGAGCGAAAGCGUGGGGAGCGAACAGGCUUAGAUACCCUGGUAGUCCACGCUGUAAACGGUGGGUACUAGGUGUGGGGUCCAUUCCACGGGUUCCGUGCCGUAGCUAACGCUUUAAGUACCCCGCCUGGGGAGUACGGCCGCAAGGCUAAAACUCAAAGGAAUUGACGGGGCCCCGCACAAGCGGCGGAGCAUGCGGAUUAAUUCGAUGCAACGCGUAGAACCUUACCUGGGUUUGACAUGAAUCGGGAGUGCUCAGAGAUGGGUGUGCCUCUUUUGGGGUCGGUUCACAGGUGGUGCAUGGCUGUCGUCAGCUCGUGUCGUGAGAUGUUGGGUUAAGUCCCGCAACGAGCGCAACCCUUGUUCACUGUUGCCAGCACGUUAUGGUGGGGACUCAGUGGAGACCGCCGGGGUCAACUCGGAGGAAGGUGGGGAUGACGUCAAGUCAUCAUGCCCCUUAUGUCCAGGGCUUCACGCAUGCUACAAUGGCUGGUACAGAGAGUGGCGAGCCUGUGAGGGUGAGCGAAUCUCGGAAAGCCGGUCUCAGUUCGGAUUGGGGUCUGCAACUCGACCUCAUGAAGUCGGAGUCGCUAGUAAUCGCAGAUCAGCAACGCUGCGGUGAAUACGUUCCCGGG
rnacentral:rRNA from 1 species